rnacentral:lncRNA from 1 species
CCUCGCAAAGUCUCGCACCAUUCCGAGUCCGGCGGACGAAGUCGGCCAGCCCAACCCCCCAAGGCUAUAGCCCACCCGUUUUUGUGGCCUUUUUCCGCUGGACGAACUUGGCGCCCCGGCCUUCAGGUGGUUAUUUUUUAGUGCGGCUGUGCCCGCGGCCUAUUUUUGGCACACGGAGGUGCCUCGCAAAGUCUCGCGCCAUUCCGAGUCCGGCGGAUGAAGUUGGCCAGCCCCACCCCCCAUGGCUAUAGCCCACCCGUUACUGUGGGCUUUUUCCGCAGGACGAACUUGGCGCCCCGGCCUUCGGGCAGUUAUUUUUGGGCGCGACUGUGCCCGCGGCCUAUUUUUAGCACAUGGAGGCACCUCGCAAAGUCUCGCGCGAUUCCAAGUCCCGCGGACGAAGUUGGCCAGCCCCACCCCCCAAGGCUAUAGCCCACCCGUUUUGGUGGCCAUUUUCCGCUGGACGAACUUGGCGCCCCAGCCUUCGGGCGGUUAUUUUUGGGCGCGUCUGUGUCCGCGGCCUAUUUUUUGCACACGGAGGCGCCUCGCAAAGUCUCGCGCCAUUCCGAGUCCGGCGGACUAAGUUGGCCAGCCCCACCCCCCAAGGUUAUAGCCCACCCGUUUUUGUGGGCUUUUUCCGCUGGACGAACUUGGCGCCCCGGCCUUCGGGCAGUUAUUUUUGGGUGCGGCUGUGCCCGCGGCCUAUUUUUGGCACACGGAGGCGCCUCGCAAAGUCUCGCGCCGUUCCGAGUCCGGCGGACGAAGUUGCCCAGCCCCACCCCCCAAGGCUAUAACCCACCCGUUUUUGUGGCUUUUUUCCGCUGGACGAACUUGGCACCCCAGCCUUCCGGCAGUUAUUUUUGAGUGCGGCUGUGCCCUCAGCCUUUUUUGGCACACGGAGGCGCCUCGUAAAGUCUCACGCCAUUCUGAGUCCGGCGGACGAAGUUGGCCAGCCCCACCCCCCAAGGCUAUAGCCCACCCGUUUUUGUGGCCUUUUUCCGAUGGACGAAUUUGGCGACCCGGCCUUCGGGCGGUUAUUUUUGGGUUCGGCUGUGCGCACGGCCUAUUUUUGGCGCACGGAGUCGCCUCGCAAAGUCUCGCGCCAUUCCGAGUCCGGCGGACGAAGACGGCCAGCCCCACCCCCCAAGGCUAUAGCCCACCCGUUUUUGUGGGCUUUUUCCGCUGGACGAACUUGGCGCCCCGGCCUUCGGGCGGUUAUUUUUGGGCGCGGCUGUGCCCGCGGCCUAUUUUUGGCACACGGAGGUGCCUCGCAAAGUCUCGCGCCAUUCCGAGUCCGGCGGACGAAGUUGGCCAGCC